AUGUUGAGAGAAAUUGUUCUUUCUGUUGUUGGGUAGGGUUGUGGUUGGGUUUGACACCCGUUGCGACCCGACCGGCAAAAGAAAGAAUAACACCAAAGCGAACCGUUACAGUCUUUCACAGAUCAACAACUGAGUGUAGUAAAGUGAUUAGAACUGAGUGGAGAUUUGUUGUGUAUGCCACAAGCGUACAUGGACAAUCAAAUAAAAAUAACCAAAAA
rnacentral:misc_RNA from 1 species